UGCUCAAUACAUGCAGUCGAGCGAACAAUGGGAGCUUGCUCCCUGAGGUUAGCGGCGGACGAGUAACACGUGGGCAACCUGCCUGUAAGACUGGGAUAACUUCGGGAAACCGGAGCUAAUACCGGAUAAUUCUUUUCUACUCAUGUAGGAAAGCUGAAAGGCGGCUUCGGCUGUCACUUACAGAUGGGCCCGCGGCGCAUUAGCUAGUUGGUGAGGUAACGGCUCACCAAGGCGACGAUGCGUAGCCGACCUGAGAGGGUGAUCGGCCACACUGGGACUGAGACACGGCCCAGACUCCUACGGGAGGCAGCAGUAGGGAAUCUUCCACAAUGGGCGAAAGCCUGAUGGAGCAACGCCGCGUGAGUGAUGAAGGUUUUCGGAUCGUAAAACUCUGUUGUUAGGGAAGAAUACCCGGGAGAGGAUCCCGGUU
rnacentral:rRNA from 1 species